rnacentral:misc_RNA from 1 species
GAUGAAUAACGAAGGAACCAUGGAACAUGCGAUGUACUGAUAAUAUUCACGUGACAUAACAACUUCGCGCGCCACCAUGUUGGUGCUCCAACGUGGCUGUUUCAGUGAUGUCAGGGCAAGCCUGGCUUGACCUGAACAUUAGUUCUUCGCCAGCUCUUUUUUUUUUUAUUGUUCUUCUUCUUUUUCUGUUGUUUUUUUUUUCCUCUGAACAAUGAGCGACGCAAGCGGUGAUAGCGCUUCGGCUGUCUUAGCGGCGAAACGAGCUGCCCGAACCGAGGCUCAGCGGCGCCGACGUCAGAAUCCAGAGGUGCGCGCCGCCGAAGCGCUAGCGCAGCGCCUCCGCCGCCAGGAGGAUUGUGCUAAAGUUCGCGCCAUCGAAGCGGCAUCAAAGCGCCGUCGCCGUGCAGACCCUGCUAUACGCGCUGCCGAGGCCGAAGCCUAUCGCCGCCGCCGCCAGAAGGAACCCUCAGUUCGCGUUGCCGAAACGAUAGCUCAUCGCCGCCGCCGCCGGAAUGAUCCAGCCGUGCGUGCCGCCGAAGCUGCUGCCCAGCGUCGUCGCCGACAAGACCCGAGAGUGCUUGCCGCCGAAGCAGAAGCUAGGCGGCGCCGCCGGGAAGAUCCUGCCGUCCGCGCCACAGAAGCCGAAGCCAGACGCCGCCGGCUCGCAAAGAGGAAGGGUGCAAUGAAGACGUCCCUGCAGCCGUUUAAAGACAGUUCACUUAGGAGUGUGUGUUCGGUGUGUGAUCGGCCCUCGUUCCAGGAUGACUCGAAACUGCUACCAGAUGAGUGUCACCGGAAGACCCUCCAGUCGGCAUUUCCUAACGCAGACCUGCAUCAGUUCUGGCUCUGUUCGACGUGCAUGCAACCCGUGCCGAAGGACGACGUUUCUCAUCUUUCCACAACCAGCGGAAAGGAACAUCUCCCGAGGCCAGCGAACCUCCCACAACUCAAUGCGGUUGCCAGACGUCACGAAUCCUAACGCGUAUGCGUUUCCGCUCAGGUUGUAGAUGCUGCACACAACGCUCCGCACACCUGCACCAAAUGUAGGUCGAGGGACACAACAUUAAGGACGACACCAAGGCGACGUUACAGUAAAUGCAUUGGCAAGGAUGACAUCCUGCCUCAGCAUGCCCAUCAAUCAUCUCAGACAGAACACCACAUCACUCUUGCCUGGUGCCCAAGGCCAAACGUUUCAGCAUGCUGCGCUGAAGUACAGGUGGACCUCUUGUGACGGCUCUGUUGAAAAAUCUAUCUUCUCGUCUACCUACCAAGUUCUUGGUGAGAAGUACGGAGACUUGUUGGAGGUGAAGGGUGACUGUUGCACAGCCAAAGAGAAAAACAAGAUGUGAACCAGGCAUGACAGUAUCAACCUGAGAAGCCUAGCAUAUAAUUGUCACGGGGUGCAUGCCACCUUUCAAGGAAGACAUGAUUUGCCAAACGUCACCAUCGAAGUACUCAAGGUGCCUGAAAUCUGCACAGUCAAAGGUCCUUUGAUGGAUAACGACCUUCUUUGUUCGCUGCAAUCGCAAAAGAUAUUUGCAGCAGAUGCAUCAACAACCAACUUCGCGUCAGAUGCAGCGAUCAACUUUCUUGUCGAAUUGAACAUCUAUUGGCUAGUCGUGGCCGGAUGGAUCAAACAUGUUAAUAAUAAUAAUAUCUGGGGUUUAACGUCCCAAAACCACGAUAUGAUUAUGAGAGACGCCGUAGUGGAGGGCUCCGGAAAU